CUCUUUUCAAGAAGGGCUUAUUAGAAGCUGUUGUGUUGAUAUAUCUUUUAAGACCGUCUACCAUGAGCUUACUGGAGAUGGACAUGGUGGAAUCUCUCUUAACAGUCAUUAAGAAGAAAGAGGAUGUGAUUAAAAUGCGUUUGAAGCCAAAAACAGCUUCUGUGCUUCUACUGGGACAAAUCCUCUGUGGCAGUGAAGAAAGCACUGUUUUUUCAAUUGUCAAUGCUAUUGUUUCAACCAAAGUGAUUGAAAGUAUUUCUGGCAGCUUGGAAGCUGAUUGGGCAGAGGAGCGGAUUGCAGCAGUGGGGAUCUUAUUAAGAUGCAUGCAGGAAGAUGGGAAAUGUAGAAAUACGAUCGCUGAUAAAGCUGAGCUGGGUCCAGUUUUAGAGACCUUCAUGAGUGCAAGUGAUGGAGAAAGGUUUGAGAUAGUUCACUUCUUCUCUGAAUUGGUCAAAUUAAACAGGAGGACAUUCAAUGAGCAAGUUCUCCACAUUAUUAAGGAUGAAGGUGCUUUUAGCACAAUGCACAGCCUUCUUAAUUAUUUACAGACAGCUCUUCAAGAUCAAUGUCCUGUUGUUGCUGGUCUCUUACUCCAACUUGAUCUUCUGGUUGAGCCAAGAAAGAUGAGCAUAUACC
rnacentral:misc_RNA from 1 species